UAAAGAGCUUUCCAUCUAAAGCCAUCCUGCUGUUUCUCCAGCAGAAACAUUGCUUGGACCAAGGACAAGAUCCUAUCACAGCUCCCACUGAAAAGCUGAGAUAGAUUGGAGCUGAAGAGGAAUUGUCCAAUGGUGGGAGAAUCUAAGACCAGAGCGCAUAGCCUCAAAUUAGAAGGACGUCACGUUAUACAGUUGUAUCACCACCUGGUAUGGGAACUACACCAAUCUUGAUCGCUGGACACUGUAGAGAGUGGUACAGAGCACAUCUGUGGAAGUGAACUUCCCUCCAUUGAGGACAUUUACAGCAGCAGG